rnacentral:rRNA from 1 species
UACGGGGGGGGCAAGCGUUGUUCGGAAUUACUGGGCGUAAAGGGUUUGUAGGUGGCUUGUUAAGUCAGACGUGAAAUCCCUCAGCUUAACUGGGGAACUGCGUCUGAUACUGGCGAGCUUGAGUGCAGGAGAGGAACGCGGAAUUCCAGGUGUAGCGGUGAAAUGCGUAGAUAUCUGGAGGAAUACCGGUGGCGAAGGCGGCAUCCUGGACCGACAUUGACGCUGAGGAGCGAAAGCUAGGGGAGCAAACGGG